AUAAGUUCAAGGCAAUUUAAUUGUCAUUUAAUUUACACUAUUUUACACUUAACAAUAUGUCGACAUUUGCUUGGUCACUUAAAUUGAUAAUACCUUUGAUUGUAGCGGGUUAUUUGACGAGUAUAAGCUUGAUACUGCUUUGCUAUGAUUGGAAACCUGUGGAAAAGUUGAAGGAACUCAGUCAGAAUUGGUUGUUAAUGGCGUCCUUGGGAAUUGUGUGUAUAAUGCUGAUCUAUAGUCGACCCAUGCGUUGCAUCUUUGUGCUCGCUUUGCCUUCGCUGAGCAGCUCUCGAGGACGCGCUUUACUCAUCACUUUGGCCUUCUUUGUGGCUGCUUUGGGUCCCACUGCCAAUAUUAUGGCCAAUCUGCGCAUAAUGCUGCAAAGUCUGGACUGUGGUCAGCAGCUGUUGCGUCAGGCAAUUGGCCAGUUGUUGGAUGUGCUGCUCGAACCCAUCAAAACGGUUCAAUCAGCUGUUGGACUGAUGUUGGACGAAGUGCGUCGCGUGCUGCGUCAGGUGAUGGAUCUUCUGCUGAGCAUCCAAAGCUACUUGCUGUUCUUUAUUGAUACCUUCAAGAGUUGUUCAUCUUGGUUAAAGUCUGUGGCGGAGCUCUGCAACUCCCAGCGAGGAUCACCCGGCACUCGUUGUCAGCGCGCUGCUGAGCGAGUUGUGAUCAAGUGUCGUGAGAAUUUCGUUUAUGUCAGAUCACUUUGCUAUGCCACCCGACUUUAUAUGGCCGUCUGCUUGCCUGUGAUGUUGUUCGAUGUGUUUUGCAUUGACUUCUGGAGCAGCAGUUGGAGUUUUAUGGAUACUAUAAUGGAGCGUUAUUAUGAAUUUGUAGCACAGCUGGAGCAAAUGUUUGAUGCGAGCAUCAGUUUUAAGCACAACUUUAACUUUCACACAAAUGCCUCGAAGAAUCUUUCCGAUGUGAGCGAACAGAUCCUGCAGGACAUCACGCAGAGUCUGCGUCCUUUUGGAGUGCUGCAAAGCUGUCUCGAUUUACUUUGCUGGCUGCUGUUGUUGCUGGUGUUUGUCAACGCCGCCUUCUUCUAUCUGCAGUAUAUGCAGAGUCGCGUCUAUCAAAAUGUUUAUUUGACCAGCGACUUCUAUGCGAUUGAACAACAAUUCUGGCUGCAAGGAAGAAGUGGAGUGUUGCCGUUAAAGUGUCUAGAGUGCUGCAAGUAUUUGAAGCUGAGCAGCCCGCGUCUCACGAGCUGCGAGUGUCAACUGCUGGCUGAGCACGCCUUCUUGCUACUCAUCAGCUGCGUGCAGCUCUUUGCAAUUUGUCUGGUGGAUUACAGUCUCUUCUGGCUGCUGGCCAGCAUUUCUUACUAUGGCCAUCAGCAGGCGGAACUCGAGUUGCCCGCUUACAUUGAGUUGGAAAUAAAACAAGGAGGUUUCAUGGGCGACAUCAUGCGUGGCAUUGCGAAUGCUUUUCGUCCUUUGACGCAGCAGAGAUCGCUGGAUACCCAGGCUUGUCUGCCGUUGCCUUUGAGGCCCAACUAUCGCAAGUACUUGGAGAUAUUUCAGUUGUGUCUGUUCGCCUGGCUUAUACUGCUAACAGAGCCUUUUGUGCUGCGUUUGCGGCACGUGAUCAUGCAACAUUUUCAUCCAGAACGUGCGAAAGAAAGAGCGAUUUAUUUGCAUCAGAAGAUACUCAAGGAGAGAGCUAACUUCUUUAAGAUGCCACGUCGCCAGGCUCGAGCUGCGUUUCCUUACCACGCCUCAAGUUAUAGAAGCAGCUGCUUGAAAUGGCUGCACUCCAAGCUAUGCUGUUGCUGCCACUUUCUCUGGCCUCGCUGUGAUGUGUGUAUCCUUUGUGGCAAGCUGCUUAGCUCGAUCGCUCUUACAGCUCAACCCGCAUCAAUUGUGAUUCACCUGGUUGCCAAGGCAUCUUUUGCCAGCUCUGCUUUAGCUCAUUGAAUAAUAAAUGCAAUCUUUGCCAGCGAUCUCUCGAUUGUGACGAUUGCAGCGUUAUCUCGGAGAUUCAGGACUCAUCGGAUGAUCCCGAUGCGGUUUCCUACGGACAGCAGCAGGCAAAACUUUAUUGUGGAAAAUAGCAGAAAACUUUGAGAAUUUUUUAAAAAAAAUUUAAUUGUUAAUAGCUAUUUUAUAUAAUUUAUUAAAAU